UCAACCGAGAUUCCCCCAGUAGCGGCGAGCGAACGGGGAGCAGCCCAGAGUCUGAAUCAGCUUGUGUGUUAGUGGAACGGUCUGGAAAGUCCGACGGUACAGGGUGAUAGUCCCGUACACCAAAAUGCACAGGCUGUGAACUCGAAGAGUAGGGCGGGACACGUGGUAUCCUGUCUGAAUAUGGGGGGACCAUCCUCCAAGGCUAAAUACUCCUGACUGACCGAUAGUGAACCAGUACCGUGAGGGAAAGGCGAAAAGAACCCCGGCGAGGGGAGUGAAAAAGAACCUGAAACCGUGUACGUACAAGCAGUGGGAGCACCUUCGGGUGUGACUGCGUACCUUUUGUAUAAUGGGUCAGCGACUUAUAUUCUGUAGCAAGGUUAACCGUAUAGGGGAGCCGCAGGGAAACCGAGUCUUAACUGGGCGUUAAGUUGCAGGGUAUAGACCCGAAACCCGGUGAUCUAGCCAUGGGCAGGUUGAAGGUUGGGUAACACUAACUGGAGGACCGAACCGACUAAUGUUGAAAAAUUAGCGGAUGACUUGUGGCUGGGGGUGAAAGGCCAAUCAAACCGGGAGAUAGCUGGUUCUCCCCGAAAGCU
rnacentral:rRNA from 1 species